rnacentral:rRNA from 1 species
AUUGAACGCUGGCGGCAUGCCUUACACAUGCAAGUCGAACGGCAGCAUGGAGAGCUUGCUCUCUGAUGGCGAGUGGCGAACGGGUGAGUAAAGCAUCGGAACGUACCGUGUAGUGGGGGAUAACGUAGCGAAAGUUACGCUAAUACCGCAUAAGCACUGAGGUGGAAAGCAGGGGAUCGCAAGACCUUGCGCCAUACGAGCGGCCGAUGUCAGAUUAGCUAGUUGGUAGGGUAAAGGCCUACCAAGGCGACGAUCUGUAGCGGGUCCGAGAGGAUGAUCCGCCACACUGGGACUGAGACACGGCCCAGACUCCUACGGGAGGCAGCAGUGGGGAAUUUUGGACAAUGGGGGCAACCCUGAUCCAGCCAUGCCGCGUGAGUGAAGAAGGCCUUCGGGUUGUAAAGCUCUUUCGGCCGGGAAGAAAUCGCACAGGCUAAUACUCUGUGUGGAUGACGGUACCGGCAUAAGAAGCACCGGCUAACUACGUGCCAGCCGCCGCGGUAA